AGUGUGUUCACUCUAUCCAGUUCUUAUUCACUACUGUAUCAUCAGAUGAACUUCGUAUCUGUACAGCCCUUUCACAUUGAUUUACAUAUUUCCAGAGCCUGUACCUGUUGAUCUAUAAAUCCUUUAUAGCCUAUUCUUUAUGAGUCGCAUAGAACACACCAUGAUCUGCAGUUUAUACCACAUGUUUCACAUUCCAACAUCCAUUUACAGCAGCACAUGAUCAUUGGAGAAGUCUAUUCACUGAUCCUUAUGUAUUGGUUAACCAACUUCCAAAGUCCAUAUCUCUUGAUCUGCAUCUUUGUUUUGGUCGAUUAUCUUUGUGUUGGAAAGAGUAGAUUAAACUCUCCGUUUAGACCACUUUAUGCAUCACUUAUCUGAUGGGUUCGUUGCAUGGAAACCAAAAUUUUCCUACGAGAAGUACGGAAGAAAACCCAAUAUCAUAUCUACUAGAUGUAAGUAAGGAGAGGGAUUAUGAGCAUCAUACCCUCAUAGACCACAAAGCGUUACGAUCAUGGGAUCAUUGUUGGCGUAGUGGAACUUUU
rnacentral:lncRNA from 1 species